rnacentral:rRNA from 1 species
GGUAAUUCUAGAGCUAAUACAUGCUGAAAACCCCAACUUCGGGAGGGGUGUAUUUAUUAGAUAAAAACCAUCCUCCUCGGAGUUUGGCGAUUCAUAAUAACUUCUCGAAUCGCACGGCCUUGUGCUGGCGAUGCUUCAUUCAAAUAUCUGCCCUAUCAACUGUCGAUGGUAGGAUAGAGGCCUACCAUGGUUGCAACGGGUAACGGGGAAUAAGGGUUCGAUUCCGGAGAGGGAGC